UUUGGCCAAAAGUUAAAUCUCCUUCUCAGUCCAUCCCUCAGUCCCUCACUCUUAUCUUUCUCUCUCCGUCGAAAGCUUCGAGAAAUCUCAAACCAUUACCAGCUCCUCCGCCAAAAUCAAGUCACUCUCUGUCUCCGAGAUCACACCCCCUCAGCUCUCCAACCUCUCAAUUGUCAAAUUCGCGUCCACCUUCUCCUUCGCCUCCGCCUUCGCUAGUGAGCCAUCGGAGGCGGAGCUCCAGAAGUUCGGUGUCUCCGACGAUAUAUAUCAGAGACUUUGUCAAGGGACUCACUUCCGAAUUUUUUGAUUCGGUUCUUCAAAUGCUCACCGUUUCAAUCGAAUAGUCGACUCUCUCAUCCUUGAUGCUCUGCACUUCGCUCCUCGCAGCUCAUCGAUGGCGUAGGAUUUGAUUAAAUUUGUUGUUCCAGCUUUUGUCUGUGAUGGAGUAGAUGCCCCUGUAUUCGCAAAUUCAAUCAAGGUACAAGAGUUUCUGUACUUCAUUUAUACGUAUAUCAGUGUAUGUUUAUACAAACAAAUUAGUUGAUCCUUAGUUUAGUAUCUGUGUAUAUAUAGUAACAGUUAGACAAUUCAUGGUGUGAGUCUCGCUCCAUAAGACACACACACGUAUAUGAGAAUUUAAUGGCUGCCUCAUUUAUUGGGGUUGACAAUUCGGGCAAGACUACGAUUGUGCUCACGAUUAAUGGGGAGGACACCAGCCUUGUCACUCCCACUCGCUCUCGGCUUCAACACCAACACCCUCACUUACCAAAAGUAACUUCUUUCUUUUAUGCAACACUAGCAAUCAUUUCAGUUUAUUGAAUUUGUAUUUAUAUGAUUUUGGUAUAUGGGAUGUGGGGGGUCAAAAUACAAUACCAUCUUAUUAGAGAAACUAUUUUGAACAAACUGAUGGUCUUGUAUACAGUUCAGAUCUUAAUUAGAAGAUUAGAUGACUACAAAAUUGGAGCUCCAUAAUCUUUUAAAGGAGAGGUAACUAUAGUGUAGAUUUUUGCCCAUUAGUUAACUGUGCACCGUCAUGUUUUCAACUGCUAUACCUAGUAUACAAUACGACUUGUGUGGAGCUUUUCAUAUCCUUAAAAUGUUUUUUAGGAGUUCAUCUGUGUCUCAUUUUGUGUAUGCUGCGAGGGGCUUUCUGUGAAAGUGUUUAUUUGUUGGAGCAAAAUUCCGUGAUACCUCUCCGCUUAUGGAUUCAUGUUGUAUAUCCUGAAACCUUGGUGUAUCUCGAGUAUACCUAUCAAUUUGUUUGGCUAUUAACUGAUUACUUAUAUUGAGAUGCACAUUUGGAUCUCCUUGCCACUUCAGUUAACCUAUGAUAAUUCAUAAUGUUGCUGGUCUAAACUGAAAUAGUAAAUUCUAUGAAAUAACUUCAAGGUUAAACUGAAAUAGUAAAUUUUGUAGCUCUUUAUUAAUGUCAUUCAAUAUUGUCUAGCUCCAACUUCAAUGGGGAAACAAGAGGCAUCUGUAAGUGUUGAAUUUAUCAUGAAGAUCCAAGUAAAACUGCUCUUUUAAGAAACAAGAUGUAUUUGAAGUGGAAUGUGGCAGUGUGCAGUGAACGGUUGAGGCAAUCCACCCCAGUGGCUUUACACUACCACUUUAGGUUCAUUUUAUUUGUAUUGGUUUUGCUAUAAGCUUCAUUUGUUAUUGCUUCCACAACAUUUGUUUGUAUACUGCUCAACUUUUUAUACAAGUGAAUGUUCUCUUAUGAAAUUGCAACAAGCAAAGAAUUAGACAGAUUUGUUAUUAUUUU